ACGACGUCAAAUCAUCAUGCCCUUUAUGUCCUGGGCUACACACGUACUACAAUGGCCGUUACAACGGGAAGCGAAGGAGCAAUCCGGAGCAAAUCCCUUAAAAGGCGGUCCCAGUUCAGAUUGUGGGCUGAAACUCGCCCACAUGAAGGCGGAAUUGCUAGUAAUUGCAGAUCAGCAUGCUGCAGUGAAUACGUUCCCGGGCCUU
rnacentral:rRNA from 1 species